rnacentral:rRNA from 1 species
CCUACGGGUGGCAGCAGUGGGGAAUAUUGGGCAAUGGGCGCAAGCCUGACCCAGCAACGCCGCGUGAAGGAUGAAGGCUUUCGGGUUGUAAACUUCUUUUCUGAGGGACGAAGAAAGUGACGGUACCCCAGGAAUAAGCCACGGCUAACUACGUGCCAGCAGCCGCGGUAAUACGUAGGUGGCAAGCGUUAUCCGGAUUUAUUGGGUGUAAAGGGCGUGUAGGGGGGAAAGCAAGUCAGAUGUGAAAUUCCAGGGCUCAACCCCGGCGCUGCAUUGGAAACUGUUUGUCUUGAGUGCGGGAGAGGCAAGCGGAAUUCCGUGUGUAGCGGUGAAAUGCGUAGAUAUACGGAGGAACACCAGUGGCGAAGGCGGAUUGCUGGACAGUAACUGACGCUGAGGCACGAAAGCGUGGGGAGCAAACAGGAUUAGAUACCCUAGUAGUC